UAGGAUUGUCACUCUCCCCUCUCGUGUGGUUUCCUCUAUCUCUCUCUACAUCUCUCUUUGUUCGCGAAAUCUGUCGUUUAUCGCCUCUAAAUUUCGGUUUGCUAGGAACACAACCCAGUAGGUUUUAAUUCUUCUAUUACUCCUUUUGGUCACUAGCAGGUGAGAAAACUAUGAUGAUUGAUAUUGACUCAAAGCAUUGGUCUCCUCUCGUAUACAUUUUUAUCACGAACAGGCCAUGACAGAAUAGUACUACACAUGGCUAAUUUUUAUCAUUGAGCAUUGCUUGGCAUCAGUCGAUAGGCAAAAGCAACCAUGGCUAAUUUUUCUUGCACAUCGAGCACUUGGUUAUUCAUCUAGUAUCAGUUAUGAAGUUGAAGGAUCAUUUGAGGAACCAAUGGGGAGGGAGGGCCUGCAAAAUUACCAAAAUUGGUGAUUUUCUUGGAACUGAAAAAGAAGUACUUGUGGUGAGGACUUUUGCUUCAGAAUAUAGCAGUCUUAGAAAGGAUGGUUAUAUCUUGGUCUAAAGAAUCUCAGGGCAAGGUCAAAAGAAAAAGGCAGUUAAUGAUCAUCUACUAACACUUCCGAAAGGGUCACUGAAUGAUCACUGGGUAUCAGUGACUUCUGGAAGUGAGGAGUAUUGUCUUAAACAUAUGUGUAGAAAUCAGUAUGAAGAAAGUCUAUUCAGAUGUGAAGAUGAUAGGUAAAAGACUUGAUAGAAGCCUUCAUCAGUUGUAAAUUUUCUUGCUAUUUGUUAAUAUUUAAUUUAAUAAGGUUUUUUGUGUGUUU